UGGGGAAUAUUGCGCAAUGGGCGAAAGCCUGACGCAGCGACGCCGUGUGAGGGAAGAAGGCUUUCGGGUCGUAAACCUCUGUCGGGAGGGAAGAACCCCCAGGAGUCGAACAGGCUCUUGGGCUGACGGUACCUCCGAAGGAAGCACCGGCUAACUCCGUGCCAGCAGCCGCGGUAAUACGGAGGGUGCGAGCGUUAAUCGGAAUCACUGGGCGUAAAGCGCACGUAGGCGGUGCCGUAAGUCGGAUGUGAAAGCCCUCGGCUCAACCGGGGAACUGCAUUCGAUACUGCGGUGCUUGAGUGCCGGAGAGGGUGGCGGAAUUCCAGGUGUAGGAGUGAAAUCCGUAGAUAUCUGGAGGAACACCAGUGGCGAAGGCGGCCACCUGGCCGGCAACUGACGCUGAGGUGCGAAAGCGUGGGGAUCAAAACAGGAUUAGAUACCCUGGUAGUCCACGCUGUAAACGAUGGAUACUAGGUGUCGGGGGUUUACCCUCGGUGCCGCAGUUAACGCGUUAAGUAUCCCGCCU
rnacentral:rRNA from 1 species